ACCGGUUUGGGAUGGUGCUACGGCGCGAAGUGUUUGCGUAGCACGAUUAUGUUUUUGUUGUGCAGGUCAGCUGGAUGUGACUUCGAAGUUUCAGUUUAACAAGGUAGUGGGAAAGCCCCCGGACCGUUUCAGUUUGGCUUCAAGUAGCUCUGCAAGAUCUGAUUCUGCUCAUCGAGUCAGCGGAGGAAAUGCGGACUUUUGUCACUUUUUCUACAGGAUAAAUGGCUGCAGUACACAUACGGUAGCAAGUUGAGACAUGCUCACCCAGGCAAGGUGGUGAUUCUCAGAGGGAAGAAUGCACCAUAAGUGGAUCCAGCUGAUUACUGGCAAUUUGGAGGAAGAUUGUUCUUCAUAUGCUAUGUUGCACUGUCUCUUCUACAGUCACUGACAGAGUCAUUGACCUGUUGUGCUAUCUUUUGAUUUUACUUUACUUUGUUUCCAACCCCACUUUAAUUGAAACAGUGAAAAUCAUAUAGGUGUUUCAAUUUAUUUAGCAUUUCUUCAAUGUUUUCAAUUGAGUAUAUUUCACAGUAAUCUUAAAGCUUAUAUUUUAUGUGAAUUUGAAUAAACAUCUGC
ensembl:lncRNA